UACAGAGGUCUCAAGCGUUGUUCGGAUUCACUGGGCGUAAAGGGUGCGUAGGUGGUGAGGUAAGUCGGAUGUGAAAUCUCCGAGCUCAACUCGGAAAUGGCAUUGGAAACUACCUUGCUUGAGGGUUGGAGGGGGGACUGGAAUACUUGGUGUAGCAGUGAAAUGCGUAGAUAUCAAGUGGAACACCAGUGGCGAAGGCGAAUCCCUGGAAAAUACCUGACACUGAGGCACGAAAGCUAGGGGAGCAAACAGG
rnacentral:rRNA from 1 species